rnacentral:rRNA from 1 species
ACACUCCUGCGGGAGGCAGCAGUGGGGAAUAUUGCACAAUGGGCGCAAGCCUGAUGCAGCCAUGCCGCGUGUAUGAAGAAGGCCUUCGGGUUGUAAAGUACUUUCAGCGGGGAGGAAGGCAAUACGGUUAAUAACCGUGUUGAUUGACGUUACCCGCAGAAGAAGCACCGGCUAACUCCGUGCCAGCAGCCGCGGUAAUACGGAGGGUGCAAGCGUUAAUCGGAAUUACUGGGCGUAAAGCGCACGCAGGCGGUCUGUCAAGUCGGAUGUGAAAUCCCCGGGCUCAACCUGGGAACUGCAUUCGAAACUGGCAGGCUUGAGUCUUGUAGAGGGGGGUAGAAUUCCAGGUGUAGCGGUGAAAUGCGUAGAGAUCUGGAGGAAUACCGGUGGCGAAGGCGGCCCCCUGGACAAAGACUGACGCUCAGGUGCGAAAGCGUGGGGAGCAAACAGGAUUAGAAACCCCUGUAGUCCCAU